rnacentral:tRNA from 1 species
AGGGUUUUUAGUAUAAAUUAUUACUUUUGAUUGCAGAUCUUAGAAUUUUUAGACCUUG